rnacentral:rRNA from 1 species
GCUAUCACUCCUACGGGGAGACAGCAGUAGGGAAUCUUCCACAAUGGGCGCAAGCCUGAUGGAGCAACACCGCGUGAGUGAAGAAGGGUUUCGGCUCGUAAAGCUCUGUUGUUAAAGAAGAACACGUAUGAGAGUAACUGUUCAUACGUUGACGGUAUUUAACCAGAAAGUCACGGCUAACUACGUGCCAGCAGCCGCGGUAAUACGUAGGUGGCAAGCGUUAUCCGGAUUUAUUGGGCGUAAAGAGAGUGCAGGCGGUUUUCUAAGUCUGAUGUGAAAGCCUUCGGCUUAACCGGAGAAGUGCAUCGGAAACUGGAUAACUUGAGUGCAGAAGAGGGUAGUGGAACUCCAUGUGUAGCGGUGGAAUGCGUAGAUAUAUGGAAGAACACCAGUGGCGAAGGCGGCUACCUGGUCUGCAACUGACGCUGAGACUCGAAAGCAUGGGUAGCGAACAGGAUUAGAUACCCUGGUAG